rnacentral:rRNA from 1 species
UACAGAGGUCUCGAGCGUUGUUCGGAUUCAUUGGGCGUAAAGGGUGCGUAGGCGGCGUGGCAAGUCUGAUGUGAAAUCCCGGGGCUCAACCCCGGAACUGCAUUGAUACUGCCAUGCUAGAGUACUGGAGAGGAGAUUGGAAUUUACGGUGUAGCAGUGAAAUGCGUAGAUAUCGUAAGGAAGACCAGUGGCGAAGGCGAAUCUCUGGACAGUUACUGACGCUGAGGCACGAAGGCCAGGGGAGCAAACGGG